CAAGAAAAGGUCAGGAUAGCUCAGU
rnacentral:tRNA from 24 species